rnacentral:rRNA from 1 species
GAACGCGAAGAACCUUACCAAGGCUUGACAUACACCGAAAACUCGUAGAGAUACGGGGUCCGCAAGGGCGGUGUACAGGUGGUGCAUGGUUGUCGUCAGCUCGUGUCGUGAGAUGUUGGGUUAAGUCCCGCAACGAGCGCAACCCUCGUUCUAUGUUGCCAGCACGUCAUGGUGGGGACUCAUAGGAGACUGCCGGGGUCAACUCGGAGGAAGGUGGGGACGACGUCAAAUCAUCAUGCCCCUUAUGUCUUGGGCUGCACACAUGCUACAAUGGCCGGUACAAAGGGCUGCUAAACCGCGAGGUGGAGCGAAUCCCAAAAAGCCGGUCUCAGUUCGGAUUGGGGUCUGCAACUCGACCCCAUGAAGUCGGAGUUGCUAGUAAUCGCAGAUCAGCAACGCUGCGGUGAAUACGUUCCCGGGUCUUGUACACACC